rnacentral:lncRNA from 1 species
UACUUCUUAAUGAAGCACAUGUAUGGAUAUAUAAAACUCAUGAACUGUUUUAACUUUUAAAACCUUCUAAUAUUUUAUCUCAUUCCAUUUGAACUUAUUUAUGUAUCUGCUUCUUUUAUUUUAUUUAUUUUUUUUUAACAUUAGCUCCCUUUUUGUUAAUUUUCAUUUGUACAACAUUUAUUUAAUUUUAAAUUAUUAUAAUUACAUGUUGUUUUAUUUAUUUGUUUAUUUAUUUACUUAUUUUUUUUAUAAUAAUUUUUAUUCAUUUCAUGUUGUUAACUUUGUAUGUACAUAUUAAUAACAUGUUUAUAGCAAAUGUAAAAAGAAGUUGAAUAUAUUUGCAAACUUUAAUUUUAAAUGCUUAAUAAAUAAGUAGUAUAUAUGUACAAUAUUGUAGAUAAAUGCUACAUAUUUUGUACAUGAAUUUAAUUCAUUUUACUACUUAUGAAUACGAAAUUAUUUAUGAAAAAUUGAAAUAUAUAAAAUAAAAGAGAGACCAAAGUCAAUGAGAAUUAUAAGAAAUGUAUAAUUUUUUUUUUUUUCUUACACAAAUUUAUUAAUUAUAUUUAAUUCUUUUCUCCAUUUUUUUUUUUUUUUUUUUUUUUUACUUUCUUUUGUGAUGUGGAUUAAAAGAGGAACGUCAUUACUAAACAGAAAAUAUUUUUAUUUCCGCAGUUUUACGAAUACUGUUAAAGUAUAUGAUGAUAACAUAAAAAUUAUAGAAAGUAAAACUUUUUAUGAAGACAAAAACACAAAAAUUACUAUUCGAGAAUCUUCAAAAUAUGCCAUAUCUAUACCCCAGUCUGAUCGUUCUUUGAUAAAUUCCUUCAUUUAUAAAGUCUUUACAAAACAUACAGAAUAUGGAGAAUGUGCAUGGAGGUUAACACAUUUAAUUAUUGAAAGGCUCGAAAAUGAAGAAAUAUUAAAAAUAUUUGGUAUAGACGAAUCAUUUAAUAUGAAAAUGUAUUUUUAUAUUUUACAUUUAUGGUUAAUUAAUAAAAGACUAAGACAUGAGCAUUACGAAGGAGAAAUUAUUAAUAAAUAUAUUUUCGACAUUACUUGGAAAAUAGUUAGAGAUUGGAUGUUAUUAAAAAAUAUUCCUGAAUAUUCUUUUAAUGCUGAACUUUUAAAUUGCCAAGAGUAUGCCUUUGGGUUUUUGGUAGCUUUAGAUGAAGCCGCUACAAAAGUAGAAAUAUUCCCAUCACUUUUAAAAGAAGUAUUAUGGGGACAUUUAUAUGAAAAGAAAGUAAAGAAAAAUUCUAACACAUUAAAUGACCUGAGUAAAUACACCUUAUUUCAAAUGAGACACAUUUUUAAUUUAUCAAGUGACCAUUUCUUACAAUCUUACUUUAUAUGGGCUGAUUUUUAUAGCCAAAAAAAAUCAAAUCGCCGUUUACCAGCAUUAUGCCAACAAAUAUCAUAUGGAGGUAAGAAAAAAAUAAAAAGAAUAAAACAAUAAAUGGCACACAUU